rnacentral:rRNA from 1 species
AUGGCUCAGAAUGAACGCUGGCGGCGUAGCCUAACACGAUGCAAGUCGAACGAGAAAGGAAGGUGCUUGCACCAACCAAUCGAGUGGCGACGGGUGAGUAACGCGUGGGUAACCUGCCUCAUACAGGGGGAUAACAACUGGAAACGGUUGAUAAUACCGCAUAAGCGCACAGCAUCGCAUGAUGCAGUGUGAAAAACUCCGGUGGUAUGAGAUGGACCCGCGUCUGAUUAGCCAGUUGGCGGGGUAACGGCCCACCAAAGCGACGAUCAGUAGCCGGCCUGAGAGGGUGAACGGCCACAUUGGGACUGAGACACGGCCCAAACUCCUACGGGAGGCAGCAGUGGGGAAUAUUGCACAAUGGGGGAAACCCUGAUGCCAGCGACGCCGCGUGAGCGAAGAAGUAUUUCGGUAUGUAAAGCUCUAUCAGCAGGGAAGAAAAUGACGGUACCUGACUAAGAAGCCCCGGCUAACUACGUGCCAGCCGCGGC